UGAGUGAUCACAGUUUUUGAGAAUCACGAUGAGGCAUUAAGAGGAGAAGUGUCCCAAGGGAGGUGAGCUGGAGGCAAAGCAAGCUAGGAGAAUCUUCAGGAAGAACUGGUUGGUUGAAUUCUCA
rnacentral:lncRNA from 1 species